rnacentral:rRNA from 1 species
UACGUAGGGGGCAAGCGUUGUCCGGAAUCAUUGGGCGUAAAGCGCGCGUAGGCGGCUCUGUAAGUCCGUUGUGAAAGUCAAAGGCUCAACCUUUGAAAGCCGAUGGAUACUGCAGGGCUAGAGUCCGGAAGAGGCGAGUGGAAUUCCUGGUGUAGCGGUGGAAUGCGCAGAUAUCAGGAGGAACACCAAUAGCGAAGGCAGCUCGCUGGGACGGUACUGACGCUAAGGCGCGAAAGCGUGGGGAGCAAACAGG